AAGCGGAGGAAAAGAAACCAACAGGGAUUGCCUCAGUAACGGCGAGUGAAGCGGCAACAGCUCAAAUUUGAAAUCUGGCGUCUUCGGCGCCCGAGUUGUAAUUUGCAGAGGAUGCUUCGGCGUAGGCGCCGCCCAAAGUUCCUUGGAACGGGACGUCGCAGAGGGUGAGAGCCCCGUGUUCGGGCGGAUGCCGUCGCCAUGUGAAGCUCCUUCGACGAGUCGAGUUGUUUGGGAAUGCAGCUCAAAACGGGAGGUAAAUUUCUUCCAAAGCUAAAUACCGGCCGGAGACCGAUAGUGCACAAGUAGAGUGAUCGAAAGAUGAAAAGCACUUUGGAAAGAGAGUCAAACAGCGCGUGAAAUUGUUAAAAGGGAAGCGCUUGCGGUCAGAACUUGGCCGCCGUUGCUCGGGGAGGUCUCGCGCCUCCCUCGCUCUUCGGCGGCUGGGCCAGCAUCGGUUCGGGCGGCUCGAGAAAGGUCGUGGGAACGUAGCUCCCUCCGGGGAGUGUUAUAGCCCGCGGCGCAAUAGGGCCCGCCUGGACCGAGGUCUGCGCAUCUGCUCGGAUGCUGGCGUAAUGGCCCCAAGCGGCCCGUCUUGAAACACGGACCAAGGAGUCUAACAUUCGUGCGAGUGUUCGGGCGUUAAACCCGUGCGCGCAAUGAAAGUGAACGUAGGUGGGAGCCCCUUGUGGGUGCACCAUCGACCGAUCCAAAUGUUUUCGGAUGGAUUUGAGUAUGAGCACGUAUGUUGGGACCCGAAAGAUGGUGAACUAUGCCUAAACAGGGCGAAGCCAGAGGAAACUCUGGUGGAGGCUCGCAGCGGUUCUGACGUGCAAAUCGAUCGUCAAAUUCGGGCAUAGGGGCGAAAGACUAAUCGAA
rnacentral:rRNA from 1 species